rnacentral:rRNA from 1 species
GACGAACCGAGCGAACGUUGUUCGGAUUUACUGGGCGUAAAGGGCGCGUAGGCGGUCAGCACAAGUCAGUUGUGAAAUCUCCGGGCUUAACUCGGAAAGGUCAACUGAUACUGUGCGACUAGAGUGCGGAAGGGGCAACUGGAAUUCUUGGUGUAGCGGUGAAAUGCGUAGAUAUCAAGAGGAACACCUGCGGCGAAGGCGGGUUGCUGGGCCGACACUGACGCUGAGGCGCGAAAGCCAGGGGAGCGAACGGG